CCUACGGGGUGCAGCAGUGAGGAAUAUUGGUCAAUGGACGAGAGUCUGAACCAGCCAAGUAGCGUGAAGGAUGACUGCCCUAUGGGUUGUAAACUUCUUUUAUAUGGGAAUAAAAUGUUCCACGUGUGGGAUUUUGUAUGUACCAUAUGAAUAAGGAUCGGCUAACUCCGUGCCAGCAGCCGCGGUAAUACGGAGGAUCCGAGCGUUAUCCGGAUUUAUUGGGUUUAAAGGGGGCGUAGGUGGAUUGUUAAGUCAGUUGUGAAAGUUUGCGGCUCAACCGUAAAAUUGCAGUUGAAACUGGCAGUCUUGAGUACAGUAGAGGUGGGCGGAAUUCGUGGUGUAGCGGUGAAAUGCUUAGAUAUCACGAAGAACUCCGAUUGCGAAGGCAGUUCACUGGACUGCAACUGACACUGAGGCUCGAAAGUGUGGGUAUCAAACAGGAUUAGAUACCCCUGUAGUC
rnacentral:rRNA from 1 species